GGAACGUUAGCUCAGCUGGCAGAGCAACGGACUCUUAAUCCGUGGGUCCAGGGUUCGAUCCCCUGACGUUCCA
rfam:Lactobacillus bifermentans DSM 20003 NODE_248, whole genome shotgun sequence.